GGGGAAUUUUGGACAAUGGGGGCAACCCUGAUCCAGCCAUGCCGCGUGAGUGAAGAAGGCCUUCGGGUUGUAAAGCUCUUUCGGACGGAAAGAAAACGGAUGGGUUAAUACCCUGUUCGGAUGACGGUACCGUCAUAAGAAGCACCGGCUAACUACGUGCCAGCAGCCGCGCUAAUACGUAGGGUGCAAGCGUUAAUCGGAAUUACUGGGCGUAAAGCGUGCGCAGGCGGUUGAUUAAGACAGGCGUGAAAUCCCCGGGCUUAACCUGGGAACUGCGCUUGUGACUGGUCGGCUAGAGUACGGCAGAGGGGGGUGGAACUCCGAGUGUAGAGGUGAAAUUCGUAGAUAUUCGGAAGAACACCAGUGGCGAAGGCGGCCAACUGGCUCGAUACUGACGCUGAGGUGCGAAAGCGUGGGGAGCAAACA
rnacentral:rRNA from 1 species